AAACGACUCUCGGCAACGGAUAUCUCGGCUCUNNCAUCGAUGAAGAANGUAGCGAAAUGCGAUACNUGGUGUGAAUUGCAGAAUCCCGUGAACCAUCGAGUCUUUGAACGCAAGUUGCGCCCGAAGCCUUUAGGCCAAGGGCACGUCUGCC
rnacentral:rRNA from 1 species